CCGACAUUUGAGGCUGAUAGUUCUCAGCCUUCUCUCACCUUAGCGGUCUGAGUGGAAGCAGCAGCCUUUCCAGGCACUGUCAGCAGGCAGGAUUCUCUUCAAGGAAGUCACAAGUCAGCUACACCUGAAAUCCUCUUCAUUCUCAGUAAAGCAUGGUGUACUGCCCUGGAAUCCUCUUACAGGCUCUGGAAACUGGACUAAUGCUGGGAUCUUAAUGAUUUAACCUGUUCUGAAGAGAGAAGCUUUCUUCCUGGCCCCAGGACUGGGGAGGACUGAGAAAAGAAGCCCUCAGCAAGGAGGAUUGGGGGAAGAUUCCUUGUGAUAAAUCUGUGCCCACAGCCCAGUCUGCUGCAGUGGUGGGGGAACAGGCAGAACCAUCAGCCACAUCAUUCUUU